GCGCUCCUGGAAUACAGAACCAGGCAGGAUGAUUAGAACACUACUUCCUUUGAAUCUUAUCAGGUUAUAUAUGAUAAGGAAGCAGCAAAAAUAACUGCCAUGGAAGAUGGAUGAAAAAAAAGAGACAGAGAAAAAUAGAAUGGUGAAUGAAUAAGGGUGGGAAGAACAAUAAAAGGACACUGAUCGAAAAAGGGAAGAUAAACAACCAAUUAAAAUUAUCACAAGGAAAUGAGUUAUAUAAGACGAAGACCAAAAUUAAUUGAUGAAUGAACGAAUGAGUGAAGGAACGACUGAACGAUAGAAGUACGAUGGUUCUCAGUAAGUGGUUUUCGUUGUGGAUCAAGCUUAAUGUAAAAUCAGAUUGCUUGAGGGCUUCUUUUCCUAAAGAAUAUUAUUUGCCUUCGUGGUCGAAAAAUACUUAAUUUGAUUAAUACAAGGCGACGAAAUGCAUUAAAAGACGAAAAAAGACACGGAGUUAUCAAGAGAGAAGAAGGAAGUACUGGACAUUUGAAGAACACCGAUAUUACAAGACAGAAUCCAAAACAAAUCAAGGGAAAUAUAAUUUACAAACAUGACAGGAAACGUUGAUAUUAGCAAAUGAAUAAAGACAUGUUAUUAUUGAA